rnacentral:lncRNA from 1 species
CUGGGGCUCCUGGGGAAGGUGGAGCAGGGGCGGAGCUGAGGAAGGUCGUUAUGGGGACAGGUCACUUUGGGGAGGUGGGGUAGGGCCAGGGGUGGGAGGCCCUGAUGUGAGGAGUCUGUAUUAUUACAUGGAAGGUUCCAGAGUCACACUAGAUGGGUGCAAAGUGGCUCUGGUUACCUCUGGGAACGGCUGGCUGUCUUACACCAUCUGUCCCCAGGCCGUGAGGUGAGCCCAGCACAUCAGUACGCCCUGGCUGGUGGUGUCUCUUUCCCUUUCUUCUGGCUGGCCGGUGCUGGCUCCGCUGUCUUCUGGGUCCUGGGAGCCACCCUGGUACUUAUAGGCUCUCACGCUGCCUUCCACCAGAUAGAGCCUGCAGAUGGUGAGGAACUGCAGAUGGAACCUGUGUAAAGUGUCCUCCAGGACCUGCCAGCCUCUCCUGCCGGCCUCUCCUGCCGGCUGGCUGUCCCCUCUCUGUCUGUUCUUGCCCUACCUGACCUAGACACUCAGCUCAACUCAGAGCCUAACUCUGAGCCUUCCACCCUAGACCUCAAACCCGGGGAGAGGCUUUUGUCUUCGGAAAUAAAACUGUUACAAUUGC